rnacentral:rRNA from 1 species
UACAGAGGGUGCGAGCGUUGUCCGGAAUCACUGGGCGUAAAGGGCGCGUAGGCGGUGACUUAAGCGUGUGGUGAAAGCCUGGGGCUCAACCCCGGGUCGGCCGUGCGAACUGUUUUGCUUGAGCACUGUAGAGGCAGGCGGAAUUCCGGGUGUAGCGGUGGAAUGCGUAGAGAUCCGGAAGAACACCGGUGGCGAAGGCGGCCUGCUGGGCAGUAGCUGACACUGAGGCGCGACAGCGUGGGGAGCAAACAGG